rnacentral:rRNA from 1 species
GACGAACGCUGGCGGCGUGCUUAACACAUGCAAGUCGAGCGAUGAAGUCCCUUCGGGAAUGGAUUAGCGGCGGACGGGUGAGUAACACGUGGGUAACCUGCCUCGUAGAGGGGAAUAGCCUUCCGAAAGGAAGAUUAAUACCGCAUAAGAUUGUAGUACCGCAUGGUAUAGCAAUAAAAGGAGUAAUCCGCUAUGAGGUGGACCCGCGUCGCAUUAGCUAGUUGGUGAGGUAACGGCUCACCAAGGGGACGAUGCGUAGCCGACCUGAGAGGGUGAUCGGCCACAUUGGGACUGAGACACGGCCCAGACUCCUACGGGAGGCAGCAGGGGGGAAUAUUGCACAAUGGGGGAAACCCUGAUGCAGCAACGCCGCGUGAGUGAUGACGGUCUUCGGAUUGUAAAGCUCUGUCUUCAGGGACGAUAAUGACGGUACCUGAGGAGGAAGCCACGGCUAACUACGUGCCAGCAGCCGCCGUAACAC